GCUCGCGUAACUCAGCUGGAUAGAGUGCCUCCCUCCUAAGGAGGACGUCACAGGUUCGACUCCUGUCGUGAGCGCCA
rnacentral:tRNA from 1 species